UUUUUGUCUGAAAUUUAAGAGUUAAAAAUGAGUGAGAGGUAUUUUGGAGUGAGUAAGAGUUCAUAUUUUCGAUUGGUAAAUGAAUGCUUGGAGGGUGUAUUAGACGAAACUGAGAGUGAUAAUGAGGAGAUGAUGGGUGCAAGGGCAUUGCCUGUUUUCGAAGAUUAUGGUGAAGUUCAGGACGUCAUGAAUGUGAACUUUGAGAAUGAAAUUGAGCAAAUUGAGGAUGAUUUUGAAACAAAUGUUGAGAGCUUGGAAAUUGAAGAAGUGGAGGAUGAAGUGGAGAGUGAUGUAGAGGAUGAAGUGGAUAGUGAUGUAGAGAAUGAAGUGGAGAGUGAUGUGGAGGAUGAAGAGGAUCGUGUAUGUGAAGAUGAAAGUAAAUUAGUGAAAGAUUUGCGCCACUUGGUCAUAAGUGAGAAUUGUACGGUAUCCUUCACCAAUAAGAUUUUGAAUGUGCUGAGAGAUAAUGGCCAUAAGGAAUUGCCCAAGACGAGGGCAACGCUCGUGCACACCCCUCGAUCCCAAUUAAAUCUUCGUAAUUGCCCUCCAGGUGAUUACUUCCAUUUUGGAAUUGAAGAAUCUCUUCUUCAAUUUCCAGAAAAUUCUUAUCCCGCAAGUGCAGAGUGUAUUAUGUUGGACAUUGGAAUAGAUGGAUUGCCAUUGUCCCGAAGUUCAACUUUGUGUUUGUGGCCAAUUUUGGCAUCGUUUUCAAAUGUAAAAGAAGUUACCCCAUUCGUAGUUGGGGCGUAUGCUGGUUAUGGCAAACCCUUCAAUGUUGAUUGUUUUAUGAAAGAUUUUGUGGAAGAAGUGAAUGAUUUGCAUAGGCAGGGGGGAGUAUAUGUGACAAAAAAGAGGAUUUUCAAGCCAUUCAAAAUUGAAAAAUUUAUUUUCGAUUCGCCAGCUAGGGCUUUUGUAACAAACUGUUACUAUCACAAUUCACCAACAAAAGGAUGCCCAAAGUGUGACUUGAGUAUUUUCAUCAGCGCGGAUGGAAAAAAACCAAAAAACUAUGCGACUGAAAUUGGCCUUCUCAGAACGGAUGAGUCGUUUAGAUUGAGGAGGGAUUCUCACCAUCAUUCCCCAUUUCCUACAGGCCUAGAGAGAUGUGAAACCGUUCGAAUGAUUUCAGAUGUUGUACUGGAUCCAAUGCACGUAUGUGAUCUUGGUGUUAUGAAAAGAGUAUUAAAGUAUGUAUAUUUGGAGUCUUGUGUGAAUUUUCGAAUGUCUCCAGAGAAGAAACGUGAAUUCUCAAACUUCUACAAAUCCUUAAGCUCAUUUAUACCGGAGGAUUUUGCUCGCAAACCUCGGUCUUUCGAUGAUAUUAAAAAUUUUAAAGCAAAUGAGUGCCGGCUCAUAAAUUCAUAUACAGGAGUGCUUCUCUUCCAGAAGUUCUUACCUCUUGAUUUUUUUUACCAUUUUUUGCACUUCUAUUGUGCUUUGAGGUUACUAUCUGCUGAACCCUUAACCUCAAGUAAUGUUGACUUUGCAGAACAGCUUCUAUCGAGUUUUGUUCAAGAUUUUCCACAUUUCUAUGGUGAGAACAGCGUACAUUUUAAUGUACAUGCUCUACUCCACUUGAGUGACUGCGCCAGACUCCACGGAAAUCUCACCAAUUUUUCCGCUUAUAAAUUUGAAAACCACUUGCAAGAGCUUAAAAAACUUGUAAAGCGCAAAUCAAAAGUCCUUCAGCAACUUUUUAACAGAGCUGCCGAGGAGAAGAAAUUGUUGAAUUCUGAGGAUUGCACGGCUCCCAAAUUCUCGAAUCGAAUGAAGUGUAAAUAUUUUGGUGCUGGAUUUGGUUACAAAACAUGCGAAUUUAACCAUAUCCUUUUCAGUAUGAAUGAUUGUGAUCAGUUUUGCUUGAUUGAUCGAGAAAUUCCGGUAUGCAUUUUAGGAUUUUUGAAGAUGAAUGACACGGACGGAGUGGCUGUUCGCAGAUAUGUAAAUCCCCAACCGUUCUUCGACUUUCCAUUAAAUUCAAUUGAUAUCGGAGUAAUGCUUGUCAGUGAAUUAAACGAGGAAGUCGAAUUCUUUGCUUUGGAAAAAAUUUCACAUAAAUUAAUGCGACUUCCUUUUAAUACAUCAUACGUUUUAAUAUCAAUAUUGCAUAAGUAUACUCUUUAAAAUAUGAUUAAUAAAGUAAAAAAAGAACAAAAUCAAAUAAAAUUCGUUGAGUUGGGGAAGUGCCUAAAAUUUUGGACAGAGUACUUAUAACCAUCAAUGUUCUAACUUCAAAGUGAAAUAUUUUCAAUAUUGAUUGAUCUUUUAUGUUACACUCCUUUAUGCAGAGUUAUUUAGAAAUUUGACAAGCUGUUUAACGUCUUUGUUUUUUUUUAUUAAAAUUAGUCUUAAUACGUUAAAGGUUAAAAAAUUAACUAAUAUGUAGAGAUCAAUUUGACUGUAAUUUUGGACAAUUUACUUAUAAUUUUGGACAGCCAAUCCGUCUCAUGCUCAUUCAUUCUGCAACACGAUUUUUGGCACACGGAUCUCACAGAACAUCCCGAGUCGAUAUCAUCAUCAGUUUAUUGAGAAAAUGAGAUUUUUGACAAAAAUUUGCAAGAUUUCGUGUUUUUUGAAAAUGACUAAAAUCAAAAAAUAAGGCAUUUAAGGGUAUCGGAGCUAAAUGUCUUCUAUAGCAAAAAUGUAGUCCUAAGUGGUAUCUAUUGUGUGCUGAAGAGAGUAUAUUAAUAUUUAAUUUAGUUUAGUUUAUAUGAUUUUUCAAAGUUCUUUUCUAAGGCGAUUUUUUGAGAAUUUUUGGUUAUACUUGGCUUUUUCGCCCCAAGGAUUUUUUUUUACAAAAAAUAUGUAAUAAUCAAAGUUGAAGCACAACUAAUUACCUUUCCAACAAACCUAAAUUUUUGAAGUUGUGUUCUCUAGAACCCGAGAUAUAACGGAUAAUAUAAGGCAAAACAGAGAAAAUAUAAAAAAAUAAUAAUUAAAGAAAAUUGUGACGUAUAGGAGAAAAACCAAAAGCAGAUUCUUGAUCAGGGGACUCGAUUCUACCAAACGUACCAUGUGAGAUCCGUUUGCUAAAAAAAAGUUGUCAAUUUGUUGCAUAGUGUUAUACUCCAUUUCAAGUACCUAUAUUACCACAUCUUCUUCCUGUCUCUAAAAAGGAACUGGAUAUCUAAGUACGCGCGGACUCACGCAUUGUUGAAAAUGGCUGGACUACAAAUGUUAGUAGAUAUAAAAGAUUUGAUAUCGACUCUGAUUAAAAAGCAAGACGAAAGUGAUAAAAAAUUGGAUGAGGUGCAAAAAAUUGUUUUGGAGAUAGGUAAUAAGGUCUCCCAAUGCGCAACUAAGAUGAAAGAGUUGUCCGUGAAGCAGGCACGCUUGGAGGCAGCCACAAAGCUUAUUUAUGGGAAAAUUGCCGAUACGGUGUACAUUUUUCCCAUAAAUAGUUUGGAGGCUUUUUUCCAACUGGAAAAGGAAGUCGUGGAAGAUGGAACACGCCGGGCAACAGUCGAAGCUGAAUUAAGGAAAAUUAUUCGCCAAAAUGAUGAAUUUUGGUUGGAAAAGGUGAUAGAGGUUGAGCUGCUAAAUGAGUUCACCGUGCAGAAAAUUAUAGGAAAACAUUCGCUCUUAGACUCCGCUGUGAUAAAAUAUUCAAUGAAAUGGUUAAAGUGCUCAAACUCAGCGCUGUCAAUCCAGUUGCGGAAACUGAAGGACAGGAAUUACAAGAGGCAGAAAAACGUAAAGAGGAAGGAACAGGAGGGCGAGGAAGUAGGGGAGGUGAUGGACAUGGCGAAGCAGUCUUCAGCAGUCGUCAACGAAGAAAUAACGAAGAUGUUAGUCGAAGAGGUGAACUAUGAAUACUAAUAAACUGCGUACCUUUAUCAUAAGAUCACUUUGUAGAGCUAAAAUUUUCUUUCUGUAUUCGUUUUAUUUAUAAUUUUUCUGCAAAACACUUUUACUUGAAUUAUUUACAUGACCUUAUAGUAAUGGUACGCACUUUAUGAUGAAUCUAAAAAUUACACAGCCAAUGAAGAAGCCAAACGGCAGAAGGAGGCUGGGCACCAACACUAAGACGGCGGUAGACGCAGUAUUAUGUAUUUACAAUUAUUUUGAAUUAUUAUUAUGUACAAUUAAAUGGGAAAUAAAAUAAUUCAGUAAAAAAAAAUAAAAUUUUGUAGUUCUAACGGUUUU